rnacentral:snRNA from 1 species
GUGCUCUCUUCGGCAGCACAUAGACUAAAAUUGGAACGACACAGAGAAGGUUAGUGUAAGGAUGACGUGCAAAUUCAUGAACCGAUCCGUAUCUUU